rnacentral:rRNA from 1 species
UAGGGAAUCUUCCGCAAUGGACGCAAGUCUGACGGAGCAACGCCGCGUGAGUGAAGAAGGUUUUCGGAUCGUAAAACUCUGUUGUUAGAGAAGAACAAGUGCUAGAGUAACUGUUAGCGCCUUGACGGUAUCUAACCAGAAAGCCACGGCUAACUACGUGCCAGCAGCCGCGGUAAUACGUAGGUGGCAAGCGUUGUCCGGAUUUAUUGGGCGUAAAGCGAGCGCAGGCGGUUCCUUAAGUCUGAUGUGAAAGCCCCCGGCUCAACCGGGGAGGGUCAUUGGAAACUGGGGAACUUGAGUGCAGAAGAGGAGAGUGGAAUUCCAUGUGUAGCGGUGAAAUGCGUAGAUAUAUGGAGGAGCACCAGUGGCGAAGGCGACUCUCUGGUCUGUAACUGACGCUGAGGCUCGAAAGCGUGGGUAGCAAACAGGAUUAGAUACCCUGGUAGUCCACGCCGUAAACGAUGAGUGCUAAGUGUUGGAGGGUUUCCGCCCUUCAGUGCUGCAGUUAACGCAUUAAGCACUCCGCCUGGGGAGUACGACCGCAAGGUU